AAACAUUGACGUACAGCUUAAAAAAAUAAGUUUAUUCAGCUUAAUAAAUAUAAAUAAACAAUUUAAUAUAAACAACUAUUAAGAAAAAAGAAUAAAAAUUUCUUACGUCAUUUAUAAGUUCUGUAACAUCAUCAACUGUUCCAAAACUCCUAUGACAUAAUGGACAGCAUGGUUUUUCAGCUUCUAAUUUUUUUAUA